GACGAACGCUGGCGGCGUGCUUAACACAUGCAAGUCGAACGGAAAGGCCCUGCUUUUGUGGGGUGCUCGAGUGGCGAACGGGUGAGUAACACGUGAGUAACCUGCCCUUGACUUUGGGAUAACUUCAGGAAACUGGGGCUAAUACCGGAUAGGAGCUCCUGCUGCAUGGUGGGGGUUGGAAAGUUUCGGCGGUUGGGGAUGGACUCGCGGCUUAUCAGCUUGUUGGUGGGGUAGUGGCUUACCAAGGCUUUGACGGGUAGCCGGCCUGAGAGGGUGACCGGCCACAUUGGGACUGAGAUACGGCCGAGACUCCUACGGGAGGCAGCAGUGGGGAAUAAUGCACAAUGGGCGGAAGCCUGAUGCAGCAACGCCGCGUGCGGGAUGACGGCCUUCGGGUUGUAAACCGCUUUCGCCUGUGACGAAGCGUGAGUGACGGUAAUGGGUAAAGAAGCACCGGCUAACUACGUG
rnacentral:rRNA from 1 species